rnacentral:rRNA from 1 species
GAUGAACGCUGGCGGCGUGCUUAACACAUGCAAGUCGAACGAUGAAGCCCAGCUUGCUGGGUGGUUUAGUGGCGAACGGGUGAGUAACACGUGAGUAACCUGCCCUUGACUCUGGGAUAAGCCUGGUAAACUGGGUCUAAUACUUGAUAUGACUUCUCAUCGCAUGGUGGGGGGUGGAAAGAUUGAUUGGUAUUGGAUGGACUCGCGGCCUAUCAGCUUGUUGGUGAGGUAAUGGCUCACGAAGGCGACGACGGGUAGCCGGCCUGAGAGGGUGGCCGGCGACACUGGGACUAAGAGACGGAGCAGAAGGCUACGGGAGGCAGCAGUGGGGAAUAUUACGCAAUGGGCGCAAGCCUGAUGCAGCGACGCCGCGUGAGGGAUGACGGCUUUCGGGGUGUAAACCUCUUUCAGUAGGGAAGAAGCGGGAGUGACGGUACCUGCAGAAGAAGCGCCGGCUAACUACGUG